rnacentral:tRNA from 2 species
GGGCCCAUGGUCCAGCGGUUAAGACGUCUCCCUUACACGGAGAAGGUCACAGGUUCGAUCCCUGUUGGGCCCA